rnacentral:lncRNA from 1 species
GGUGUUUUAAUGUAGUUAGGGUACUUCUAUAGGUGUUUUAAUGUAGUUAGGGUACUUCGAUAGGUGUUUAAAUGAAGUUAGGGAUCUUCUAGUCUUUAAAAAAAAGUAUUUAGGGUACCCCUAUACGUGUUUUUAAUGUAGUUAGGCUACUUCUAUAGGUGUUUUAAUGUAGUUGGGUAACUUCUAUAGGUGUUUUAAUGUUGUUAUGGUACUUCUACUGGUCUUGGUACAGUACAGGCUACUUCUAUAGGUGUUUCAAUGUAGUCGGGCUACUUCUAUAGAUGUUUUAAAGUAGUUAGGGUCCUUCUAUAGGUGUUUUAAAGGAGUUAGGCUACUUCUGUUGGGGUUUUAAUGUAGUUAGGGUUCUUCUAUACGUGUUAUAAUGUAGUUAGGGUACUUCUACAGUUUUUAUUGAAAGUAUUUAGGGUACACCUAUACGUGUUUUAAUGUAGUUGCGGUACUUCUAUAGGUGUUUUAAUUUCGUUAGGGUACUUCUAUAGGUGGUUUAAUUGUUGUUCGGGUACUUCUAUAGCUGUUUUAAAGUAGUUAGGGUACUUCUAUAGGUGUUUCAAUGUAUUUAGGGUACUUCAAUAGGUGUUUUAUAAUAGUUAGGGUACGUCUACAGGUGUUUUUAAAGUAAUUAGGGUACUUCUAUAUUUGUUUUAAAGUAGUUAUGCUACUUCUAUAGAUGUUUUAAAGUUGCUAUGGUACAUCUACUGGUCUUGGUACAGUACAGGCUACUUCUAUAAGUCUAGCAUGGCAUAGGGUGAGGGUAAGAAGAAAAAUUUUAGACUCAGGAACUAGUGAUGUAGCUGCUCUGACAGCUGCGUUGAGGGAGGGAGGGAACAGUGUGUGUGUGUGUGUUCCCUUGUGUGCAUGUGUUUGUGUGCAUGUGUGUGUCGGCGGUGUUGGAUGAAGUAGGUGUGUUUUCUUUCUGCCUUGAGGGGCCUCUGCUCUGG